UAACCACACAAGACUUACUCUAAAGGGUAAAACUGUCACUAAUUUACUAAUUUAUUUUCUUAAUUUUCUAGGCAACAACAGCUUGUGGUCUGGAUGGCAAAUGAAUUAAUUAAUUAAUUAAAAAAAAAAGAAAAAAAAAAAGAGGGAUGUGGAAGACAUAACUGUGACUUAAUCAAAUCUGAUUCUAAAAGGACCCAAGUUUCUCCAGAAAAGCUAGGCAUUCAGCAAAUGGCUCAACUUCCAUUUUGAAUAGCAGGCAGUGAUGGCAGAGUUCAGCAGCUCCAUGCCAGCAAUGUAGACUAUGCAUCCUAGUAAGCAUUCUAAGCAAGAAAAUGAAAUGAAAGAACAUUCCACUGGGAGAAAAACAAACAAACAAAAAGAUUUACUGCAUGAUCUCUCAUUCAUGACACUGGAUUUAUAACUGUGCAGGUUCUAAAGGCAUGUAGUAAGAAGAAAUACUGCUUUAGUAAGAAGAUGUGUCUUCUCAGAGAAGAGAGCAACUGAAACAGCAAAUCAUUUCCCUCCUGAAGAAUGAGACACAAGAAGAAGAUUGUUUGGAAGUGACAUUUUUUCUCAGCCAACACACAGCACAUGUCUGUUUUAACUCUGUCUUAAAAAUUAUGUAUAACAUACAUGUAUAUUACUGGUAGGAAUAAAAAAUAAAUAACUUAAAGGUGUUUCA
rnacentral:lncRNA from 1 species